rnacentral:rRNA from 1 species
UACGAAGGGGGCUAGCGUUGUUCGGAAUUACUGGGCGUAAAGCGCGCGCAGGCGGUUUCUCAAGUCAGUGGUGAAAGCCCGGAGCUCAACUCCGGAACUGCCAUUGAAACUGUGAAACUUGAGGACGAGAGAGGUGAGUGGAAUUCCCAGUGUAGAGGUGAAAUUCGUAGAUAUUGGGAAGAACACCGGUGGCGAAGGCGGCUCACUGGCUCGUUUCUGACGCUCAGGCGCGACAGCGUGGGGAUCAGACAGG